rnacentral:rRNA from 1 species
UGGGUAAUAUUGGGCAAUGGGCCCAAGCGUGAAUCCAGCCAUGCCGCGUGGGUGAGAAGGCCUUCGGGUUGUAAAGCCCUUUUGUUGGGAAAGAAAUCGUGUCUGUUAAUACCUGGCGGGGCAUGACAGCUACCCAGACAAUAACCACCGGCUUACUUCGUG